UCAUCUUCGGGGGUAGAGCACUGUUUCGGCUAGGGGGUCAUCCCGACUUACCAACCCGAUGCAAACUACGAAUACCGAAGAAUGUUAUCACGGGAGACACACGGCGGGUGCUAACGUCCGUCGUGAAGAGGGAAACAACCCAGACCGCCAGCUAAGGUCCCAAAGUCAUGGUUAAGUGGGAAACGAUGUGGGAAGGCACAGACAGCCAGGAUGUUGGCUUAGAAGCAGCCAUCAUUUAAAGAAAGCGUAAUAGCUCACUGGUCGAGUCGGCCUGCGCGGAAGAUGUAACGGGGCUAAACCAUGCACCGAAGCUGCGGCAGCGACACUAUGUGUUGUUGGGUAGGGGAGCGUUCUGUAAGCCUGCGAAGGUGACCUGUGAGGGUUGCUGGAGGUAUCAGAAGUGCGAAUGCUGACAUAAGUAACGAUAAAGCGGGUGAAAAGCCCGCUCGCCGGAAGACCAAGGGUUCCUGUCCAACGUUAAUCGGGGCAGGGUGAGUCGACCCCUAAGGCGAGGCCGAAAGGCGUAGUCGAUGGGAAACAGGUUAAUAUUCCUGUACUUGGUGUUACUGCGAAGGGGGGACGGAGAAGGCUAUGUUAGCCGGGCGACGGUUGUCCCGGUUUAAGCAUGUAGGCUGGUUAUCCAGGCAAAUCCGGAUAAUCAAGGCUGAGGUGUGAUGACGAGGCACUACGGUGCUGAAGUAACAAAUGCCCUGCUUCCAGGAAAAGCCUCUAAGCAUCAGGUAACAUCAAAUCGUACCCCAAACCGACACAGGUGGUCAGGUAGAGAAUACCAAGGCGCUUGAGAGAACUCGGGUGAAGGAACUAGGCAAAAUGGUGCCGUAACUUCGGGAGAAGGCACGCUGGUGUGUAGGUGAAGUCCCUGCGGAUGGAGCUGAGACCAGUCGAAGAUACCAGCUGGCUGCAACUGUUUAUUAAAAACACAGCACUGUGCAAACACGAAAGUGGACGUAUACGGUGUGACGCCUGCCCGGUGCCGGAAGGUUAAUUGAUGGGGUUAUCCGUAAGGAGAAGCUCUUGAUCGAAGCCCCGGUAAACGGCGGCCGUAACUAUAACGGUCCUAAGGUAGCGAAAUUCCUUGUCGGGUAAGUUCCGACCUGCACGAAUGGCGUAAUGAUGGCCAGGCUGUCUCCACCCGAGACUCAGUGAAAUUGAACUCGCUGUGAAGAUGCAGUGUACCCGCGGCAAGACGGAAAGACCCCGUGAACCUUUACUAUAGCUUGACACUGAACAUUGAGCCUUGAUGUGUAGGAUAGGUGGGAGGCUUUGAAGCGUGGACGCCAGUCUGCGUGGAGCCAACCUUGAAAUACCACCCUUUAAUGUUUGAUGUUCUAACGUUGGCCCCU
rnacentral:rRNA from 1 species